rnacentral:rRNA from 1 species
GAUAAACGCUGGCGGCGUGCAUAACACAUGCAAGUCGAACGAUGAAACUUAGCUGAUUUCUUCGGAAUGAAAUUAAGUGGAUUAGUGGCGAACGGGUGAGUAACACGUGAGUAACCUGCCUUACACAAGGGGAUAGCCUUUGGAAACGAAGAAUAAUACCCUAUGACGUCAAAAUAUCGCAUGGUAUAGUGACCAAAGAUUUAUCGGUGUAAGAUGGACUUGCGUCUGAUUAGCUAGUUGGUGAGAUAAAAGCCCACCAAGGCGACGAUCAGUAGCCGGCUUGAGAGAGUGUACGGCCACAUUGGGACUGAGACACGGCCCAAACUCCUACGGGAGGCAGCAGUGGGGAAUUUUGCACAAUGGGGGAAACCCUGAUGCAGCGACGCCGCGUGAUUUAGAAGGCCUUCGGGUUGUAAAAAUCUUUUUUAUGGGAUGAAAAUGACAGUACCAUAAGAAUAAGGUCCGGCUAAAUACGUGCCAGCAGCCGCGGUAAUACGUAUGGACCGAGCGUUGUCCGGAAUCAUUGGGCGUAAAGGGUACGUAGGCGGCCUAGUAAGUUAGAAGUGAAAUAAUAUAGCUCAACUAUAUAAAGCUUUUAAAACUGUUAGGCUUGAGAGAUGAAAGGGAAAGUGGAAUUCCUAGUGUAGCGGUGAAAUGCGCAGAUAUUAGGAAGAAUACCGGUGGCGAAGGCGACUUUCUGGUCAUCAUCUGACGCUGAGGUACGAAAGCGUGGGUAGCAAACAGG